UACAGAGGGGGCAAGCGUUGUUCGGAAUUACUGGGCGUAAAGGGCGCGUAGGCGGCCUGUUAAGUCGAACGUGAAAUCCCCGGGCUCAACCCGGGAACUGCGUCCGAUACUGGCAGGCUUGAAUUCGGGAGAGGGAUGUGGAAUUCCAGGUGUAGCGGUGAAAUGCGUAGAUAUCUGGAGGAACACCGGUGGCGAAGGCGGCAUCCUGGACCGGUAUUGACGCUGAGGCGCGAAAGCCAGGGGAGCAAACGGG
rnacentral:rRNA from 1 species